rnacentral:misc_RNA from 1 species
AAAUAGUGUGUUUAACUUCUGUUAACAUAUCCAUCCUAAAGUUAACAUUUAACCCCUAAAAAGAGUAAUGAGGUUAAAAAUUAACUUAUUCACUUUAAAGUAUUUAAAUAAUAUUAAAAAUUACAAGAUUAAUUAUUAACCCUUAUUAACUUUAUACCAAACGCACCUUAAAGGUUACCUCUUUUAUUUAUUUGUACUAACUUAUUUAAUUAUGAUCUUCAUAUUUUUAAUAAAUUAAAUAAUUUGUGGUUAAG